rnacentral:rRNA from 1 species
CCCUUAGAUGUUCUGGGCUGCACGCGUGCUACAAUGGCGUUUCCAGCAAGUCUGCGAACCCGAGAGGGCCAGCGGAUCUUCGAAUUGGCGUCGUGAUCGGGACAGUCGAUUGCAAUUAUUUGACUCAAACGAGGAAUUCCUUGUAAUCGCGAUUCAUCAUAUCGCGCUGAAUACGUCCCUGCCCUUUGUACACACCGCCCGUCGCUCCUACCGAUUGAUUGAUCCGGUGAAUUACAUAGAAUUUUGCGUUUUACAUGACGGAAGACGAAGUGUUUUAAACCUUAUCAUUUAGAGGAAGGAGAAGUCGUAACA